GACAGAGGUGCCAAGCGUUAGGCGGAAUCACUGGGCUUAAAGCGUGUGUAGGCGGACUUCUAAGUACCUUGUGAAAUCCCACGGCUUAACCGUGGAACUGCUGGGUAUACUGCUUAUCUUGGGCCAUCUAGGGGCGAGCGGAACAAGUGGUGGAGCGGUGAAAUGCGUAGAUAUCACUUGGAACGCCAAUGGUGAAAACAGCUCGCUGGGGGUGUGCUGACGCUGAGACACGAAAGCCAGGGGAGCAAACGGG
rnacentral:rRNA from 1 species